GCAAGUCGAGCGGACAGAUGGGAGCUUGCUCCCUGAUGUUAGCGGCGGACGGGUGAGUAACACGUGGGUAACCUGCCUGUAAGACUGGGAUAACUCCGGGAAACCGGGGCUAAUACCGGAUGGUUGUCUGAACCGCAUGGUUCAGACAUAAAAGGUGGCUUCGGCUACCACUUACAGAUGGACCCGCGGCGCAUUAGCUAGUUGGUGAGGUAACGGCUCACCAAGGCGACGAUGCGUAGCCGACCUGAGAGGGUGAUCGGCCACACUGGGACUGAGACACGGCCCAGACUCCUACGGGAGGCAGCAGUAGGGAAUCUUCCGCAAUGGACGAAAGUCUGACGGAGCAACGCCGCGUGAGUGAUGAAGGUUUUCGGAUCGUAAAGCUCUGUUGUUAGGGAAGAACAAGUGCCGUUCAAAUAGGGCGGCACCUUGACGGUACCUAACCAGAAAGCCACGGCUAACUACGUGCCAGCAGCCGCGGUAAUACGUAGGUGGCAAGCGUUGUCCGGAAUUAUUGGGCGUAAAGGGCUCGCAGGCGGUUUCUUAAGUCUGAUGUGAAAGCCCCCGGCUCAACCGGGGAGGGUCAUUGGAAACUGGGGAACUUGAGUGCAGAAGAGGAGAGUGGAAUUCCACGUGUAGCGGUGAAAUGCGUAGAGAUGUGGAGGAACACCAGUGGCGAAGGCGACUCUCUGGUCUGUAACUGACGCUGAGGAGCGAAAGCGUGGGGAGCGAACAGGAUUAUAUACCCUGGUAGUCCACGCCGUAAACGAUGAGUGCUAAGUGUUAGGGGGUUUCCGCCCCUUAGUGCUGCAGCUAACGCAUUAAUCACUCCGCCUGGCGGAGUACGGACGCAAGACUGAAACUCAAAGGAAUAGACAGGGGCCCGGCACACCGGUGCAGCAUGUGGUUUAAUUCUAAGCAACGCGAACAACCAUAACCAGGUCUUGGCAUCCUCUGACAAUCCUAAGAGAUAUGAAGGUCCCCCUUCCGGCGGAGAGGGAC
rnacentral:rRNA from 1 species